rfam:Gossypium raimondii Chr11_contig_1503, whole genome shotgun sequence.
UGUUAAAAAUUUCAUUCAUUUUUACUGUUAAAAACUGACGUAAUUGAUAGAAUACAGUUACACAUGGCGUGCCACGUGUACUUCAUUAUAACAUACAAUAACUAAGUUUUAACAAUAGAAAUAGAUAAAAUUUUUAAUA